GUCUCAUGGGUGUUGGGUUUGCCUCACCGUCCUAUACACUUUGGAAUGGAGUCUAUCCUCGCCUCUUUGCAGUGGGAGAGCGAGGCGCUGCCUCUACCUGGCUCGCACAGCACAGUUCCCGAUGAUGACUUCCCGCCUUGGAAGUGCAUCAGUGAGGUGAUCCCUGGUCUCUACCUUACUUGCGCCUCCGAGAUGGCCGAUAAGACAAAGUGCGCCGCGAUGGGUGUCGCUCUUGUCAUCAACAUGUGCGGGGAAGAUGACGUUACGAAGUACCGCGUCUUUGAAAGGGACGAGAGCGCAGCAUAUGCGUUUCGCCGGCUUGAUUCGCAGGAGAGUUUUGUCUGCGAGUUGAGCAGCUACUGCCGUAUUGCAGUGAACACCCCAAAGGCGCAAAGAAAGGUGUUUGUUGUGACCAUUCCUGCAGAAGAUACGCCGACGUACAGCAUCGACCAGCACUUCGUGGAGUGUGCAGUGCUUAUGGAAAUUGUUUUGCGGUCUAGAAAAGGCUACGAAACGGUUAGCGAUGAGGACUACACAACUGUCCCGGCUGUGGCAGUGCAUUGCAUGGUUGGCGUAAGCCGGUCGGCCUCCGUUGUCGUUGCCUACUUCAUAAAGAAAUACGGCUUGUCCCAAGACGACGCUAUCAGUCUAAUCCGCUGCACGCGCCCGGUAGUGCAGCCAAACCCCGGGUUCCAGCGGCAACUCUCCAUGUGGAUGGCUCUCCGAAGCCAUCGCAUCGUUGACGAAUGGACGGCCAAGGUGCUUGCUGUCGAAGUAAAGACCAAGUCGAACCUUGUCGAGCUAGCAAGCACGAUGCUGCCAACCAUCUUGCGUGCGAAGAAGUGUGAAAACGAGCGUCGCUACUUUGGGUCGCUCAUCAAAAAUGCUUCGCCGACCGAAGCAGAGCUGCAUGCUGUAUACCGGGAGCUUCGCUCGGUUGUCGCGGCGGAUGUCGAUAGUGAGGUCUACACAGACAUUCCCAACUACUUCGGUUACGUUGCGGAGGUUGUGUGCAGCAUAGAUUGCGCUGCUCCAGCGGUGCUGCAAUACGCCACGGACUUUCGCAACUCACUCGUGUGCAACGAUGCAUUCUAUUAUCGUGUAGUGAAAGAUGUGGCUCGCUCUGGUUUUGAAAAAGACACGUUCGACACCAUUCGCGGCUUUUGCUCGCUGUUUGAAGCCAUCUACGUCAAGCACCUCUGCGCUCGCGACUGUGGCCACCCCGCAGCCUUGAACCCAAGUGCCGGCGAUACGGGGUUGCCGUCAGCGUGCGCGCUUUCAUUCCCUUUUUUGUUUCUUGUAGCGCCUUACGCCGAGGGGUUUGUGCAGUUUAGCGAGUGGAACGCGCUGGUCAAUGAAUUCGCGACUACAGGGGACGCGCUGAGCGCCACCGAGCUUCGGCGACUGAAAAACGAGACGGUGCGCAUGUUUCUUCAGUUCUUCUUCCAAUCUUCGCGCACUGCCGAAGGGUCUGCCGCAACAGAGAGCUACACGAAGCUUGGCUUCUUGCAAAACGAUGUUGAGGUGGUGACAUUUAGGGCAGUGAAGUCGGAUCUGAAGACUGGCGGCGGCUUCAUUGCCUCACUCGAGAGCGUCGUGGCGGUUUCCCAGUCAGUGGACGACCACGUUGCGUUUCUCCUGCUAUGUAAAAUGUUGAGCGGCAUACUCGCUUUUCGUCUUCUUUUGGAAGCAGCGGAGCAGUUCCUGUGCCAGACAUACGGCGAGCGACUGGGAGAAAGCGUGCCGCUUGCUGAGGAACUUCUGCCGCUGCAUGUGAUCUCUUCGGCGGCUUUGUCACUAGAAAGCGCGUACACGGCAGUGCAUUGCAAACCAUGCAAGGCCGGUGAUUUCUUCAGAGGGGAGCUUUCGAGUCUUUUGGAGACUGGAGUGUUGAAUCCUGCUGGUGUGGUGUCGCUCUUCCAAGCAACGCCGUAGUUGGGUCUUUUCUCAUGGUGGCCUUGCGUGCGCUUCUCCAGUGGAUGCCGCAUUGCCAGUCCUUGUGCCAUUGUUGCCUCGUUCAUGUGAAGAAAGAGGGUCCCUGUUUGACUGUCCACACCCAUCCCUGCACCCUAACUAGCACCCCGGGAAGGAAGACAAAUACGCAUGGCAGCGCGCACGCCUGCUCAAAGGUUGAGACCGCUCGGCACCCCUCUCGCCUCAUGGAACGAAUCUAGU
rnacentral:misc_RNA from 1 species